UGGGAUAGCUCAGUCGGUAGAGCAUGAGACUAUUAAUCUCAGUGUAGUGGGUUUGUGCCUCACAUUGGGUAAAAA